rfam:Morus notabilis contig514, whole genome shotgun sequence.
AGCCACGCGGUGAGCACAAAGCGAACUAUUCUUUCGCCUUUUACUAAAGAAUACCGUGUGCUCGCCGCAUUUAGUGGCAUACGCCUAUUUUUAAUGGGGAUUUCUCCUCGUGAGAAGUC